AACGCAAAUUGCGCUUCUCUCCGUAGGAGCACGCCUGUUUGAGCAUCAUUAAGCAACCACUCUCAGGGUUACUCUUUUUUUUCAUUCGACCUCAUUCGCAGCUUAUUAUUUAAAUACUGAGUAGAAGAAAAAGCAAUACUAAACUUUGUAUUAUCUAACAGUAUGUUUGAACAAUGCAAAUUUGAUCUCGAAUCAGGUGAGAAUACCCGCUGAACUUAA
rnacentral:misc_RNA from 1 species